GGAUUCCCUUAGUAGCGGCGAGCGAACCGGGAGAAGCNCAGCUUGAAAAUCNCGUCGUUUUGCGGCGCGAGUUGUAGUCUGGAGAAGUGUCCUCUGCGGCGGACCCGGCCUAAGUCCCCUGGAAAGGGGCGUCAGAGAGGGUGAGAACCCCGUCGGGCCGGGACCCUGCUGCUCCACGAGGCGCUGUCUACGAGUCGGGCUGUUUGGGAA
rnacentral:rRNA from 1 species